CAGGUUGGUGGAUGAUGAGAGGACAGUCACGUUUGUCUCCCCGCAGUUAUUCCAGAUUGGCUGGAGGAAAACUGAUGUCUCAAGAACUUCAAGUCUUCAGAUCCAUCCAUGAACACGGAAUCAGAGGCUCGAGCUGCUUAUCUGGAGUCCCCACCACAAGGAUUAACAACCCAACGAGGAGCUGGCCUGGUUGGGGCUCACUCUCUGGGACGCGGCUGCUCUCCCGUGCCUCAGUUACAGCAGGUGCCGAGGGGCUCGGCUUGAGCCGAACAUGCACGGAUGCUUCUGGAGCACAGACGGGGCAAUGCUGGGACCCGUGGGAGAGACGGGCCAGCUCCAUGCUAAUCGGUUAGAAGAGGAGACAGAGGUUCUGAGAGGUGGUAAGACCCGUGUUCCUCUCCGCUCCCAGGACACAUGUGCCUCCAGAAUGUUCCGUGGCCCUGACCUGUCCGUCUCAUCCCUCCAUGCCCGGUGAAAGGGGGCAGGGGCUCCAGGGGGCUCCGGGGGGCUCAGCCGGCUGCACCCCGGCCCUCUGUCGUCCUGGAGUUGCCGGAAGGAGCAGGUCCGGAGCUGCCCCCCGCCUGGAGAGGGGACGGGCUU